UGGCGGCAGGCUUAACACAUGCAAGUCGAGCGGUAGCAGAUCUAGCUUGCUAGAUGCUGACGAGCGGUGGACGGGUGAGUAACGCGUAGGAACCUGCCCAGUAGUGGGGGAUAGCCCGGGGAAACUCGGAUUAAUACCGCAUACGCUCUACGAGAAAGAGGGGGCUUCGGCUCUCGCUAUUGGAUGGGCCUGCGUGAGAUUAGCUAGUUGGUGAGGUAAUGGCUCACCAAGGCGACGAUCUCUAGCUGGUCUGAGAGGAUGAUCAGCCACACUGGGACUGAGACACGGCCCAGACUCCUACGGGAGGCAGCAGUGGGGAAUAUUGCACAAUGGGCGCAAGCCUGAUGCAGCCAUGCCGCGUGUGUGAAGAAGGCUUUCGGGUUGUAAAGCACUUUCAGUGGGGAGGAAGGCCUCGUAGUUAAUAGCUGCGAGGAUUGACGUUACCCACAGAAGAAGCACCGGCUAACUCCGUG
rnacentral:rRNA from 1 species